rnacentral:snRNA from 1 species
GGAUGUGAAGGCGAGCUGGCUGCGACAUCUGUCACCCCACUGAUGGCCAGGGCUCAUUUGGCUGAUACGGCAGGCUAAGAGCUCAUCAAAGAGAACACCAUGUCCAAUAGAGGAGGACUGUUUCCAUGGUCAAGGGCACACGAGUAGCUGCGCUCCCCUGAUAAAACCUCCAAACAAGCUCUCAAAAUAAAAAAUAAAAAGGGCUGAGGAUAUAGCUCAGUGGCAGAGCACCUCCGGAUUCAAUCC